UAAUUAUAGGCCAAUUUGGGAGGAGGGUUUGCUGGCCCAUCCCUGUCUGGUAGUUACAGCGUAACAAGACCCAAGCAAAGCAAUGACUAAAGCAGACAGCAGGGUAGCAUUAUGUGCUCACAGAGGAAUACAGAUUGAAUUGAAUUGACUAUUGAACAUAAGAAGCUGUCUUAUAUGGAGUCAGGCCGUUCAUCCGUCAGUAUCAUGCGUAAGGACUUGCAGCAGCUCAACAGGAUUUCAGAUAGGCAGCAUUCCCAGUUCUACCAGAAGAUGCCUGAGCCAGGGACCUCCUGCGUGCCAAGCAGACACUACUACUCAGCUAUAGCUCCUUCCUCUAAAUAAUAGCAUUCUGCACUGAUGAGAUACACCAGUGGGGCUGUCACUACUACUGAACACUGACACCACCGCUAACAACGAAACAAAAACCUUACUUGCAAGAUGGGAAAGGGGAGCUCUGCUUGUGGUACCUUGUGGUACAGAAUGGGGACCAGGGAUGGAUAACUCUAUCCCUUCCAGUUCUCCAAGCUUCUCAUGUUUCCAAUCUUAAAUUCAGUUCUCCAAAUUUCCACAACAAUUCACGGGUGUUGUUUUUUCUAAAUGCUCAUGAAAAUUCAUCAGCAUUUUUAGAGCAAAUUUAUCCUAAUUGAACGAACCUAUUUUGUAUGCAGCUUUGAA